rnacentral:rRNA from 1 species
GAUGAACGCUGGCGGCGUGCCUAAUACAUGCAAGUCGAGCGAACGGACGAGAAGCUUGCUUCUCUGAUGUUAGCGGCGGACGGGUGAGUAACACGUGGAUAACCUACCUAUAAGACUGGGAUAACCUCGGGAAACCGUAGCUAAUACCGGAUAAUAUUUUGAACCGCAUGGUUCAAAAGUGAAAGACGGUCUUGCUGUCACUUAUAGAUGGAUCCGCGCUGCAUUAGCUAGUUGGUAAGGUAACGGCUUACCAAGGCAACGAUGCAUAGCCGACCUGAGAGGGUGAUCGGCCACACUGGAACUGAGACACGGUCCAGACUCCUACGGGAGGCAGCAGUAGGGAAUCUUCCGCAAUGGGCGAAAGCCUGACGGAGCAACGCCGCGUGAGUGAUGAAGGUCUUCGGAUCGUAAAACUCUGUUAUUAGGGAAGAACAUAUGUGUAAGUAACUGUGCACACCUUGACGGUACCUAAUCAGAAAGCCACGGCUAACUACGUG